GUUGCAUCGACCAUGCUGUAUAUGAUGAAGGAUGCCCACAUAAGCAUCAUUUUUCUGAAAAUAGUAUUUGGACCUACCAAACCAGAACACAAGACAAGAGGAUCCAAUGGCACCUGCUGAAACUAUGGAGGCAUUCGCCCCAUCGGAAAUUCCAGGUAUGAAGGUCAAGACCGCACCUAAAACCCAGGCAACUUUCCAGAAAGCAUCUCGACGAGUCGUAUACUUUUCAUCAUCUGGCUCUUGUGGUUUUUGUUCGCUUGAAUAUUGGUUGUCAAAAAAUUCAUGUAGUGUAGCACUUCGUCCUGCUUCACCAACGCAUAGUAGCAACAAUGAUCCAUAGAUUUCCCCAAUUGCAAUAUUCUUGUUCUUCACCGCUUUCGAAGAGCUUAAUAGAAUCAAUCCCUGCAGCAUCAAAGUUAUAUGAAGAGACUAAAUGGAAAGAAGAAAAAAAAGUUAUAUAAUAGGUUCUAAAAUGGGGAAAAUUCUACCAUAUUAUACCUACUGAAUUCAUAGGCAAAGUUUAUUCACGUCCCUACCCACCACUCCCUUGCACGUACAACGCACAUACAACCAUAUAUUUUUUUUAUCAGGUAAAUUACAACUGCGUGAGUCGAACUCACAGCCUCUUAUUAUUAAAAAGGAAUCGAACUCACAACUUCUCACUUAUCAAAAAAGAGAUUAUGUCACUAGACCAAAUAGUACUAAGCAUAUACAACCACAUGUUAGUAGAAUGUAUGCCAUACCUUAAUAAAAAUGGUACCCCUUUUUUUUCUUUUUUCUUAGAAGCUACUAGAACUAGCUAGUUUUGAAUCGUGUAGUGUUCCAAAAAUUAAUGAUGAAAAUCAUGUAAUGUUUCAGUAAAGUGUAUAUGUAUAUGUUCGAUCUCUUCUAGAAAAAUAAAUAAAAAAGGAUAAGAACUCAAUGUCAAGGGAAUUGGAGGUUUGGCAAUAAUAAGAACACUCACAAGUAUGUAGGCUACAUUCGUGGAGAUGAUCAUAAUAAUAUGGUCAUCCAUGCAGUACUUGUCUGAGAUGUGAGCAAGGAGUAUUAUCAUCAUGCUUA